GAUGAACGCUGGCGGCGUGCCUAAUACAUGCAAGUCGAGCGAACGGACGAGAAGCUUGCUUCUCUGAUGUUAGCGGCGGACGGGUGGGUAACACGUGGAUAACCUACCUAUAAGACUGGGAUAACUUCGGGAAACCGGAGCUAAUACCGGAUAAUAUUUUGAACCGCAUGGUUCAAAAGUAAAAGACGGUCUUGCUGUCACUUAUAGAUGGAUCCGCGCUGCAUUAGCUAGUUGGUAAGGUAACGGCUUACCAAGGCAACGAUGCAUAGCCGACCUGAGAGGGUGAUCGGCCACACUGGAACUGAGACACGGUCCAGACUCCUACGGGAGGCAGCAGUAGGGAAUCUUCCGCAAAGGGCGAAAGCCUGACGGAGCAACGCCGCGUGAGUGAUGGAGGUCUUCGGAUCGUAAAACUCUGUUAUUAGGGAAGAACAUAUGUGUAAGUAACUGUGCACAUCUUGACGGUACCUAAUCAGAAAGCCACGGCUAACUACGUG
rnacentral:rRNA from 1 species